rnacentral:tRNA from 3 species
GGGCCAUUAGCUCAGUUGGUUAGAGCGCUGUGUUGAUAACGCAGAGGUCCCUGGUUCGAAUCCAGGAUGGCCCA